rnacentral:rRNA from 1 species
CCUACGGGUGGCAGCAGUGGGGAAUAUUGCACAAUGGGGGAAACCCUGAUGCAGCGACGCCGCGUGAGUGAAGAAGUAUUUCGGUAUGUAAAGCUCUAUCAGCAGGAACGAGACAAGACGGUACCUGACUAAGAAGCCCCGGCUAACUACGUGCCAGCAGCCGCGGUAAUACGUAGGGGGCAAGCGUUAUCCGGAAUCACUGGGUGGAAAGGGAGCGUAGACGGCUGAGCAAGCCUGAAGUGAAAGGCGGGGGCCCAACCCCUGGACUGCUUUGGGAACUGUACGGCUGGAGUGCAGGAGAGGUAAGUGGAAUUCCUAGUGUAGCGGUGAAAUGCGUAGAUAUUAGGAGGAACACCAGUGGCGAAGGCGGCUUACUGGACUGUAACUGACGUUGAGGCUCGAAAGCGUGGGGAGCAAACAGGAUUAGAUACCCCGGUAGUC